rnacentral:rRNA from 1 species
AACAAACGCUGGCGGCGUGCCUAACACAUGCAAGUCGUACGAGAAAGGGUCCUUCGGGGCCUGAGUAAAGUGGCGCACGGGUGAGUAACGCGUGGAUAAUCUGCCCUUCAGUUGGGAAUAACUCAUCGAAAGGUGGGCUAAUACCGAAUAAUGCUGUGAGACCUCGGUUGAUCAGCCAAAGAGAGCCUCUGCUUGCAAGCCCUCGCUGAAGGAUGAGUCCGCGUACCAUUAGCUAGUUGGUAGGGUAAUGGCCUACCAAGGCGACGAUGGUUAGCUGGUCUGGGGGGAUGAUCAGCCACACUGGAACUGAGACACGGUCAAGACUCCUACGGGAGGCAGCAGUGAGGAAUCUUGCGCAAUGGGGGCAACCCUGACGCAGCAACGCCGCGUGAGUGAGGAAGGUCUUCGGAUCGUAAAGCUCUGUCGGAUGGAAAGAACCGCAUAGGGGUAAACAGCCCCUGUGUCUGACGGUACCAUCAAAGGAAGCACCGGCUAACUCCGUGCCAGCCGCCGCGGUAAAAC